rnacentral:rRNA from 1 species
UACGAAGGGUGCGAGCGUUAAUCGGAAUUACUGGGCGUAAAGCGUGCGCAGGCGGUUCGUUAAGUUCGAUGUGAAAGCCCCGGGCUCAACCUGGGAACUGCAUUGGAAACUGGCGAGCUUGAAUGCGGCAGAGGGGGGUGGAAUUCCGCGUGUAGCAGUGAAAUGCGUAGAUAUCAGGAGGAAUACCGAUGGCGAAGGCAGGUCUCUGGGCUGACACUGACGCUCAUGCACGAAAGCGUGGGGAGCAAACAGG